UACGUAGGGUGCAAGCGUUGUCCGGAAUUAUUGGGCGUAAAGAGCUCGUAGGCGGUCUGUCGCGUCUGCUGUGAAAACUCGGGGCUUAACCCCGGGCCUGCAGUGGGUACGGGCAGACUAGAGUGCGGUAGGGGAGACUGGAAUUCCUGGUGUAGCGGUGAAAUGCGCAGAUAUCAGGAGGAACACCGAUGGCGAAGGCAGCUCGCUGGGACGGUACUGACACUGAGGCGCGAAAGCGUGGGGAGCGAACAGG
rnacentral:rRNA from 1 species